rnacentral:rRNA from 1 species
AUUGAACGCUGGCGGCAGGCCUAACACAUGCGAGUCGAACGAGUGGCGGACGGGUGAGUAAUGUCUGGGCAACUGCCUGAUGGAGGGGGACAACUACUGGAAACGGUAGCUAAUACCGCAUACCAUCAGAUGUGCCCAGUUGGGAUUAGCUUGUUGGUGGGGUAACGGCUCACCAAGGCGACGAUCCCUACCUGGUCUGAGAGGCUGACCAGCCACACUGGAAAGGAGACACGGUCCAGACUCCUACGGGAGGCAGCAGUGGGGAAUAUUGCACAAUGGGCGAAAGCCUGAUGCAGCCAUGCCGCGUGUAUGAAGAAGGCCUUCGGGUUGUAAAGUACUUUCAGCAGGGAGGCGUUACCCGCAGAAGAAGCACCGGCUAACUCCGUGCCAGCCGCCGCGGUAAUAC